UGAKKUUKAUGUGUUAGUAGCGUUACUAAGUCAAUUUWGACCCAACAACUAGUUGACAUCGUUUAGGGCGUGGACUACCAGGGUAUCUAAUCCUGUUUGCUCCCCACGCUUUCGUGCAUGAGCGUCAGUAUUGGCCCAGGGGGCUGCCUUCGCCAUCGGUAUUCCUCCACAUCUCUACGSAUUUCACUGCUACACGUGGAAUUCUACCCCCCUCUGCCAUACUCUAGCCCGCCAGUCACAAAUGCAGUUCCCAGGUUAAGCCCGGGGAUUUCACAUCUGUCUUAGCGGACCGCCUGCGCACGSUUUACGCCCAGUAAUUCCGAUUAACGCUUGCACCCUACGUAUUACCGCGGCUGCUGGCACGUAGUUAGCCGGUGCUUAUUCUUCCGGUACCGUCAUCCUCCCGCCGUAUUAGGACAGAAGUUUUCUUUCCGGACAAAAGUGCUUUACAACCCGAAGGCCUUCUUCACACACGSGGCAUUGCUGGAUCAGGCUUUCGCCCAUUGUCCAAAAUUCCCCACUGCUGCCUCCCGUAGRGUCUGGGCCGUGUCUCAGUCCCAGAMWGGCUGGUCGUCCUCUCAGACCAGCUACAGAUCGUCGSCUUGGUAG
rnacentral:rRNA from 1 species